AUUGAACGCUGGCGGCAUGCUUUACACAUGCAAGUCGAACGGUAACAGGUUAAGCUGACGAGUGGCGAACGGGCGAGUAAUGCAUCGGAACGUGCCCGAUCGUGGGGGAUAACACUUCGAAAGAAGUGCUAUUACCGCAUACGAUCUGAGGAUGAAAGCGGGGGACCGUAAGGCCUCGCGCGAUCGGAGCGGCCGAUGUCAGAUUAGGUAGUUGGUGGGGUAAAGGCCUACCAAGCCGACGAUCUGUAGCUGGUCUGAGAGGACGACCAGCCACACUGGGACUGAGACACGGCCCAGACUCCUACGGGAGGCAGCAGUGGGGAAUUUUGGACAAUGGGCGCAAGCCUGAUCCAGCAAUGCCGCGUGCAGGAAGAAGGCCUUCGGGUUGUAAACUGCUUUUGUACGGAGCGAAAAGGCUCUCUCUAAUACAGGGGGCUGAUGACGGUACCGUAAGAAUAAGCACCGGCUAACUACGUGCCAGCCGCCGCGGUAA
rnacentral:rRNA from 1 species